CCUACGGGAGGCAGCAGUGAGGAAUAUUGGUCAAUGGCCGGAAGGCUGAACCAGCCAUGCCGCGUGAAGGUCAGUGCCCUAUGGGCGUUAAACUUCUUUUGUGCGGGAGCAAUAAUGGUCACGUGUGGCCAGACGAGAGUACCGUACGAAUAAGCAUCGGCUAACUCCGUGCCAGCAGCCGCGGUAAUACGGGGGAUGCAAGCGUUAUCCGGAUUUAUUGGGUUUAAAGGGUGCGUAGGCUGUGAGGUAAGUCAGCGGUGAAAUGCCCCCGCUCAACGGGGUGAAGUGCCAUUGAUACUGCCUUGCUGGAAUGCGGAUGCCGUGGGAGGAAUUUGUGGUGUAGCGGUGAAAUGCAUAGAUAUCACACAGAACACCGAUUGCGAAGGCGACUAUCUGGCUGUACAUUGACGCUGAGGCUCGAAAGCAUGGGGAUCAAACAGGAUUAGAUACCCGUGUAGUC
rnacentral:rRNA from 1 species